rnacentral:tRNA from 1 species
GGCGGCAUAGCUCAGUUGGCUAGAGCAUACGGUUCAUACCCGUAGUGUCAGUGGUUCAAAUCCACUUGCCGCUACCA